ACAGAGCUCAGCUCAAAUGCCCUUUCUCAGGCCACACUGACCAGUGCCUCCCCAAGCAGAGAGUGAGCUCCCGGGGGUCGGGGCUGCACCUGGCCCAGGGCUGGCACACCACAGGUGUGAUGGAUGACAGACUGAAGGACGAGGGGUCAAAUCAAAGGCAAGAAUUAAAGCUCGAAAUUCUUGAAUGAACUUAGUGGGAUCCUGGCUAAAUGAACCCAGUGUGGAUUCGAGAAAGAUCAGACAUUGGAAAAGGGACAUGAACUUGAAUUGUUCCCAAAUCUCCAUUUGCCACCUUGUGGAGAGGUAAAACCCUUGUGGGAUCUUCUGAGGACUCUCUGCUAGUGGCAUAUGUGACUCCUGUAGUUUGUGGGUCAAAAUGAGACCAGUUUUGAAGAAUGCCAUCCAAGGGUGAGUCAGAUGGAAUUGAAGAAUGAAACGGACCCAUGUUGGGUUCAGAUCAGGUACUACAAGAUCCCUGAGGUGUCCCUGAGGGACUUGGACCUCACCUCUUCGGCUCACUCUAUUCGGGGGCGUCUACCACAAAUGGAGGGCCUGCCCUUGCCUGGACGACCACUCCAGGUGUGCCCGUGUUUGAAGGGUCAGCUCAGACCUAAGGUGAAGGAGAACUCACUCAUAACUUGGGAUGCGGUUCCCACUUGAAGUGGAAUCCAAACGUGGGUCCGCAACCAGUGGAAUAUGUCUGCGCAGAGUGGGGAUCACUGCUGCUCAUUUCCAAGGCACGGUUUACAGGGCAUCAAGUGAAAGUGGACUUGCCACCCCAAAGGGCAAUAGUAAAUUCCCUCUUUUGUCUUGGCCUUCGGGUAACACCAGGUAGUGCCCUUGGCCAGAAACCUUCAAUUGCCAAAGAGUACUCAAGCUGGUUCCCUGGCGGUUCAAAAAUGGAAAAGAACCCUGGCUAAUUCCUCACCCCUAAGGGCAGUGAUGGAAAGAUAUCUCUUCUCUAGGGCUUCAGGAUCCCACUGAAGAGUGGUCUUGGACAGGGCCCUCAGUUUCCAAGUAAAGAACCAGACCAUCAAGGGAAGCAGGGAGGGAAAAGAAGGGAGAAAUCCCAGUAAAGUCCUGUACGCACAACCGAGGUGCCUGGCAAGGUGUCGGAGCCCCAGCCUCGGGAAGGGGCCGACUCGAGGGCUGGUAAGAACUUACCAAUGACAGUAUGGGUUUGGAAGAGGAAAGUUUUAUUAGGAAGAAAGAACGCUGCAGAGAAGUGCAGUGGGUGCCUCUGCCGGAGGACUCAGCACCACCAGGGAUUUUCCUUAGGAGCAUUUCUGGACCCCACGGCGGGAGCUGAAGGGUGAUUUGCACGACAAAUGCUACAUUUGUAGACAUUCUGGUGCCUUAGUGAUGGCAGGGGGUGCACAUUGAGUUUAAUCAGCCACGCAUUCCGGAGAUGUCUAGAAAUUCUAGUUACUUAUAAAUGUUAGGUUGAAAGGAGGCCUGGAACCAGGUGCCAACUUUAGAUGAUGGGGAAGUUUAAUUACUUCCAAAUUCCUCAAAUAUGGAGCUUUGCCAUGGAUGGCCUGCCUGAUGGUCACCAGGUGGUCUUAGCUGUCCUCAGCCAGCUCACGGGGCCUUCCCAGCUCUGCCUCCUGCCCACCCCCAAGCACACUCCCCUCUGCUCCAGUCAAACCCAUGCGCCUGUGCCUUGGCAUGUGCUGGCCUCUCUGCCAGCAGUGCUUGCUCCUGUCUUUACUCAGCUCCCCCUCACUCCCCAGGGAGUCAUCCCAAUUGUCCAAUGUCCUCAGCUGCCACCAGGCCACUCACCCCAUCUGUCGCAUCAUCUGUUGACUGCCUGUCCUCCCUGGGGCAGGACCCCCUUUAUGCAGCUCUGUGUGCCUGGCAUGGCAUGUGCGAGGGCAUAGAAGAUCUGGACAUAGAGUUGGCUGACUGGUCCCGGAGGGUGGGUGGGCAGCCCUUGGAAAGCCAAGGAGGUGUGUGUGCUUUGUUCCAGAAUGGAAGGUGUUGUUUGCUCAUCCUUUGUCAAGGUAACCAGGAGAAGCUGUUGCAACCACCAAGGGAAGGUGUUUCCUCAGGCUGAGAGCUUAUUGGGAGCUUCGGAGCUACUAACCACAGCAAGCUGCAGGGCAGGCAACUGACCUUUGUCACCCAGGAGUCCAGGGGAUAAGGGCCACCUGGCCAGGUGGCCAGGCCGUUCCAGCCAAGGCCAGCAGCAGCAGCGCCUGGGAGUGGCCUCUCGCAGCUGUGAAACGGGGGCUGAGGGCACCGCCUGCCCAGCUCACCCGCCUUUCUGGGCCCUGGGGUGGGCCUGGGCUGGCAGGAUGGGGCAUGAAGUCUGGGUCAGGACCCGGGACUGGCCUGCCUUGCCCUCCUGGGCAGGACUGACCUGGGGUUGUCUUAGUUCCCCAGAGGAAGUCAUCAGCGGAACCAGCCAGCCUGCUACCUGACACACAAGGCCAAGAACGGAGUAUCUUUUAAAAAUUUAACUUGUUUUGUUA